rnacentral:rRNA from 1 species
GACGAACGCUGGCGGCGUGCUUAAUACAUGCAAGUCGAACGGAAAGGCCCUGCCUUGGUUGGGUGCUUGAGUUGCGAACGGGUGAGUAACACGUGGGUAACCUGCCCUGUACUGUGGGAUAACUUUAGGAAACUGGGGCUAAUACCGCAUAGGAGCUCCUGCUGCAUGGUGUUGGUUGGAAAGUUUCGGCGGUUGGGGUUGGACUUGCGGCUUAUCAGCUUGUGGGUGAGGUAGUGGAUUACCAUGGCUUUGACGGGGAGCCGGCCUGGGAGGGUGACAGGCCACAUAGGGACUGAGGUACGGGCCGGACUGCUACGGGAGGCAGCGGUGGGAAAUAGUGCGCACUGGGCCGCAGCAUGAUGCAGCAACGCCGCGUGCGGGAUGACGGCCUUCGGGUUGUAACCAGCUUUCGCCUGUGAAGAAGAGUGAGUGACGGUAAUGGGUCAAGAAGCAACGGCUAACUACGUG